GUUGAGAGGAAUGUCGUCUGGCCCGAGACCGCGCCUCGACGACGGUCUCGGACCAGGCUUCAUUCCCCCCAAC
rnacentral:pre_miRNA from 1 species